rnacentral:rRNA from 1 species
GACGAACGCUGGCGGCGUGCCUAAUACAUGCAAGUAGAACGCUGAAGAGAGGAGCUUGCUCUUCUUGGAUGAGUUGCGCACGGGUGAGUAACGCGUAGGUAACCUGCCUUGUAGCGGGGGAUAACUAUUGGAAACGAUAGCUAAUACCGCAUAACAAUGGAUGACACAUGUCAUUUAUUUGAAAGGGGCAAUUGCUCCACUACAAGAUGGACCUGCGUUGUAUUAGCUAGUAGGUGAGGUAAUGGCUCACCUAGGCGACGAUACAUAGCCGACCUGAGAGGGUGAUCGGCCACACUGGGACUGAGACACGGCCCAGACUCCUACGGGAGGCAGCAGUAGGGAAUCUUCGGCAAUGGGGGCAACCCUGACCGAGCAACGCCGCGUGAGUGAAGAAGGUUUUCGGAUCGUAAAGCUCGGUUGUAAGUCAAGAACGGGUGUGAGAGUGGAAAGUUCACACUGUGACGGUAGCUUACCAGAAAGGGACGGCUAACUACGUG